GGCUGUUGUUUUGGGCUGCUGGGUGGUCUGCUGUCAAGACGGGUCGGGUCAAGUCUGGUGCGGGUCGGGUCAGGUCAGGUCGGAUCAACCCGACUGAUAUAUUAUUUUUAAAUUUUUUACUUUUUUCUCUUUUUUAUUUUCUCUUUUUUUCUUUGUUCUUUCUAUUUCUUUUUUUCUUUCUUCUUCUUCCUCUUUCGAACCCUAGCCCACCGCCGCUUACGCUACCACUGCUGCCUCGACUUGGUGGUGCGAUGAUGGUCGGUCUCUCCUCUCUUAUUUUCUCUCUUCCUUCCUCUUCUCUUUUUUCUCUUUUCUUUCUCUCCUUUUUUUCUUUUUUUCUUUCUUACCUCUCUUUCUCUUCUAUUUCGACAACCCCAAAGUGGAGGGCACCACCGCUAUGCUCGUCCUCAGCUCCUCUCCGCACUCAGUGGCCAACGAAUCAAGGGUAAGCGUUUUUUUCCUCCCCAAAAUUUGGUUAUUGGCUGCUGCUUCUUUGAAUUAUUUUUUGGUUUUCUUGAAUUUUUUGGUUGUUUCUUGAUUGGCUUUUAGGUGGUGGUUUUGGCGAUGGAGUGGCGAUGGUGGCGAUGGCUUUGGCUGCUGUUUCCUUAUUGUUUUGCUGCUGUAUUUUUUUCAAUUUUUUUCUUUUCUUUGUUGCCCGAAAAUCCCUUUCUCCUUUAGUUUUUUUCUUUUUAAUCCUAUUGAUUUUGUCUUCUUUCUCUUUGUCUUCAGGUGACAGUGGAGCAAUCAUGGCCUAGGGAGGCUGUCGGAGUAGCUGGAGGUGGCAGUGCACGCUCGGCUGCUGAUUGAGGCGAUUUGACAUGUCCAGAGGACUAAACUGUAGAGGAUGUAAAACUUUUAGGGCAAAAGUGCAAUUUUAAAAGAAUAUGGGGCCAAAAUGUAAUUUCUUGAUAGUUUAAGGGCUCGAAUAUAAUUUACAAAAUAUUAGGGGUCAAAAUGUAAAUUUAGAAAUG
rnacentral:lncRNA from 1 species